CGCGUAGGCGGCGAGGCAAGUCAGAUGUGAAAGCCCCGGGCUCAACUCGGGAACUGCAUCUGAAACUGCUUUGCUUGAGUUCUGGAGGGGGUGGUGGAAUUCCCAGUGUAGCGGUGAAAUGCGUAGAUAUUGGGAGGAACACCUGCGGCGAAGGCGGCUACCUGGACAGAAACUGACGCUGAGGCGCGAAAGCUAGGGGAGCGAACGGGAUUAGAUACCCCGGUAGUCCUAGCUGUAAACGAUGGGCACUUGGUGUUGGGGGUAUUGAGUCCCUCGGUGCCGGAGUUAACACGUUAAGUGCCCCGCCUGGGGAGUACGGUCGCAAGACUGA
rnacentral:rRNA from 1 species